CUCCGCCUGCGGAGAAGGGGGAGAGAUGAGACUAGAGAACCAAAUGCCACGUGCCACAUGCCAGCCAGCUGAGUGUACUGUUGAGGGCACAGGCUGCCCUCUGGGGGCUCUGGAGCCAGGCUGCCUGUCUCUGAAAGCGGACUCUGCCCCCUGCUGUGUGUGAUUUUACCUUGAGUAUCAUCCUAACCCCUUCAUCUGUAAAGUGGAAACACUACAAGUAUCUUCUCAGCCCAGACAUCAUGAAGAUUGAAGCAUAUGUGCUCACGAAAUACACUAAUCAGUGAGGAGUGGAUGUAGAGACACUGAUGUUCUCCAGUUGGCCAGCUCAGUGGCUACCAUGUCAUCCUGUCUCAUAUUUCUUACAUGUUCCAAGAGAUGAGGAAUUCCAUUCUAUCAUUCUAUCAAAACAGAAUUCAUCAACUUUCCCAAAUGGACUUAGAAGACCCAGAUUUAGAACUAAAAGGAAAAGUAGGAGAUAUUGAGAAGAGGAAAUCCUGGAAAGCAGGAUAAAUACUCCAGAAAAGCCGUCAGGAGACCAUCCCAGCAGAGGUGCCGGAAAAGCUCAGACAGCUGUGGUGGACACAGGAACUCUGUACCGUCCAGGUUUGCUGUGAACUGAAAAUGACUAUAAAAAUUCUUAACUAAAACUCAAUGAAUUUUGAUCUUAAAGAAUUGACAUCACAAGGGGGAACUGUAGGAACAUGUUUCAAAUGUUCUAAAGGACAGGAAACCAUAGUUCCCUGAAGUCUGACCGAAGCUGCAGGAAGUAAAUCCAUAGCACAAACACUGUGUUGUAGCACACUUGAGGACUGCAGGCCGUGUGGAUUCCGGGGAACCCGCAGGAAAGAAGCUACGGAUGACUGACAUCUCAGUAGAAAGUAAGGUAGUCAAUCUAUCGUUGUUUAAAAAUACACCCCAUUUUUAGAACAGUUCAGUGUUCCCAACUCCUGCAUCCUAGCUUAUUGCCUUUUCAGUCCGUGAAGGUUUUGGGGGGGUCCGUGUUCCUGGUGUCUACCCAGUCUGUUGUGGCGCCUAUAAACAAAGGCACUUCUGGCCUUCCUUCACCAUCAGUCUGCAUCCGGUCCCUUCCUCCACCAUCAGUCUGCAUCCGGUCCCUUCCUCCACCAUCAGUCUGCAUCCGGUCCCUUCCUCCACCAUCAGUCUGCAUCCGGUCCCUU